UUACCUUCAGUAAGUGUCCCACGCUGCACUGAAAGAGGGAGGCAGGACCAAAGCGGCGUGCUCACGGACCGCUACUCCUUAGAGGAAACAUUGCUCUGGCUGGGAUCA